UGUCGGUGGCAUUGAUGACUGGCUUCCAGUCGAAGGCCAUUCCAACCGCUGGGCGAGGUGGGGCUUCAGCAUGUGUGAGGACAAGGGCCUUCUGCAGGCAAAUUGGCACUCGUUGCUCGAGGCUGACUUCAAGCAGCAGCU
rnacentral:SRP_RNA from 12 species